rnacentral:rRNA from 1 species
UACGUAGGCAGCAAGCGUUGUUCGGAGUUACUGGGCGUAAAGAGUGUGUAGGCGGUGCUCUAAGUUUGGUGUGAAAUCUCCCGGCUUAACUGGGAGGGUGCGCCGAAAACUGGAGUGCUUGAGUGUGGGAGAGGAAAGCGGAAUUCCUGGUGUAGCGGUGAAAUGCGUAGAUAUCAGGAAGAACACCCGUGGCUAAGGCGGUUCUCUAGUACGGUACUGACGCUGAGACGCGAAAGCGUGGGGAGCGAACAGG